AUUGAACGCUGGCGGCAGGCCUAACACAUGCAAGUCGAGCGGAUGAAGGGAGCUUGCUCCUGGAUUCAGCGGCGGACGGGUGAGUAAUGCCUAGGAAUCUGCCUGGUAGUGGGGGAUAACGUCCGGAAACGGGCGCUAAUACCGCCUACGUCCUGAGGCAGAAAGUGGGGGAUCUUCGGACCUCACGCUCUCAGAUGAGCCUAGGUCGGAUUAGCUAGUUGGUGGGGUAAAGGCCUACCAAGGCGACGAUCCGUAACUGGUCUGAGAGGAUGAUCAGUCACACUGGAACUGAGACACGGUCCAGACUCCUACGGGAGGCAGCAGUGGGGAAUAUUGGGCAAUGGGCGAAAGCCUGAUCCAGCCAGGCCGCGUGUGUGAAGAAGGUCUUCGGAUUGUAAAGCACUUUAAGUUGGGAGGAAGGGCAGUAAGUUAAUACCUUGCUGUUUUGACGUUACCAACAGAAUAAGCACCGGCUAACUUCGUG
rnacentral:rRNA from 1 species